rnacentral:lncRNA from 1 species
CUCGGAUCAGGUGUUCAGGGUGGCCUCGUCCGACCUCGUCAACAUGGGGAUAUCCGUGGUCAGCUACACGCUCAAGGACGUGCACGACAAGCAAGUGAGGGCGGGGGGGCACCUGGGGACACACCUGGGACACACCUGGGGGGUGUGGGAUACACCUGGGACACACCUGGGGACACCUGGGGGGUGUGGGAUGCACCUGGGGGGCGUUGGAGACACCUGGGAUAUACCUGGGGUACACCUGGAGACACCUGGAUACACCUGGGAUACACCUGGGGGACGUGGGAUGCACAUGGGAUACAUCUGGGAUACACCUGGAGACACCUGGGGGACACCUGGAGACACCUGGGAUACACCUGGGGGACAUGGGAUACACCUGGAAUACAUCUGGGAUACACCUGGAUACACCUGGGGACACCUGGGGGACAUGGGAGACACCUGGGGGGCGUGGGAGACGCCCGGGAUACACCUGGGGUACACUUGGGGGACAGGGGAUACACCUGGAUACACCUGGGAUACAUGGGAUACACCUGGGAUACGCCUGGGAUACGCCUGGGAUACACCUGGGACACACCUGGGGACACCUGGGGGGUGUGGGAUGCACCUGGGGGGCGUUGGAGACACCUGGGAUAUACCUGGAUACACCUGGGAUACACCUGGGGGACAUGGGAUACACCUGGAGACACCUGGGAUGCACCUGGAUACACCUGGGGGACACCUGGGGGACAGGGGAUACACCUGGGGGGCACCUGGGGGGCGUGGGAUACACCUGGGAUACACCUGGGUACACCUGGAUACACCUGGGGGACAGGGGAUACACCUGGGAUACACCUGGGGGACACCUGGGGGACACCUGGGGGACAGGGGAUACACCUGGGAUACACCUGGGGUAUCCCUGGGGAUCUCCGUGGUCAGCUACACACUCAAGGACAUACACGACGAGCAGGUGAGGGCGGGGGGGCACCUGGGACACACCUGGGGACACCUGGGGGGCACCUGGGGACACCUGGGGGACGUGGGAUACACCUGGGAUACACCUGGGAUACACCUGGGGGACAGGGGAUGCACCUGGGAUACACCUGGGAUACACCUGGAGACACCUGGGGGACAGGGGGUACACCUGGGAUACACCUGGGGACACCUGGAGACACCUGGGAUACACCUGGGGGACACCUGGAGGACAUGGGAUACACCUGGACACACCUGGGAG